rnacentral:rRNA from 1 species
AUACGGAGGAUGCGAGCGUUAUCCGGAUUUAUUAGGUUUAAAGGGUGUGUAGGCGGUAUUUUAAGUCAGUGGUGAAAUCUCGGAGCUUAACUUCGAAACUGCCAUCGAUACUGGAAUACUAGAGUGUGGUUGAGGUAGGCGGAAUAUGUAAUGUAGCGGUGAAAUGCAUAGAUAUUACAUAGAACACCGAUUGCGAAGGCAGCUUACUAAACUAUAACUGACGCUGAUGCACGAAAGCGUGGGGAGCGAACAGGAUUAGAAACCCUAGUAGUCC